GCACUGCUGAGGAGUCCCACAAUAAAACGAAACGGCCGUCCAGUGC
rfam:Schistosoma curassoni strain Dakar, Senegal genome assembly, scaffold: SCTD_scaffold0009221